rnacentral:lncRNA from 1 species
UAGGGAGCUAGGUGAGAGGCAGGAUCAGACAGGCAAUCAUCAACAACAUACUCUGAAUUUAAGAAUGACCACCACACAGUAAGAGAACUGGAAUUUGGAGGAAAACUUCAGCUCUGAGAACUUUCACACAGAAAACUAACAAAGAAAUUCUGGACUUAAACUUGACACUUGCCCAGUUGGUCUUAAUAGACAUCUAAAGAAUACUCCACCCAACAACUACAGAAUAUAUAUUCGUCUCAUCUGCAGACACAACAUACUUUAAAAAUGACUGCAUGUUUGGUCAGAGAGUCUCAACAAAUUUGGAAAAAUUAAAAUUAUACCCAACAUAUUCUCAGGUCGAAUGAAAUGCAAAUAGAAAUUACUGCCAAGAGGAAUUCUCAAAACCACACAAAUACGUGGAAAUUAAACACAUUGAUCCUGAAUGACCUUUGUAAAGCAAGAAAAUUAAGGCAAAAAUCAAAAAAUUAUUUGAAAAAAACAAAAAUUGUGACACAGUGUAACAAAACCUGUGAUAUUGCAAAAGAAGUGAUAAGAUUUGUAGCACUAAAUGCCUACAUCAAGAAAAUAGAAAUAUCUUGUUAACAACCUAACAUUACACCUAAAGAAAUAGAGAAAGAAGAACUAAAUUCUAAAUGAAGAACCCAGUUCUAGCAGAAGAAAAGAAAGAAUUAAAAUCAGAACAGAACUAAGUGAAAUUGAGAUAAAGAAAACUAUUCAAAGGAUCAACAAAAUGAAAAGUUUGUUUUUUGAAAGGAUAAACAAAAUUGAUAGACUGCUAGAUAAACAAAGGAAAAAAAGAAGAUCCAAAUAAGCACAAUCAGAUAUGACAAAGGUAACAUUACAACUGAUCUCGCAGAAAUAUAAAAGAUCCUCAGAGAUUACUAUGAACAUCUCUAUGCACACAACUAGAAAAUCUAGAGGAAAUAGAUAAAUUCCUGGAAAUAUACAACCUCCCAAGAUUGAAUCUGGAAGAAAAAGACACCCUAAAGAGACCAGUAAUGAGUUACAAAAUUGAAUAAGUAAUAAUAAAAAACUUACUAACCAGAAAAGCACCGGACCAGAUGGAUUUACAGCCAAAUUAUACCAGAUGUACAAAGAAGGAGAAUGCUGAGAGAAAAGGUGCCUCUGAGCCCAUAGAACAUGUUCAAAGCAGAGCUCUUACCCGAAGCAAGAGAGAAAGACCACAGCAGGUAACAUCACAGCCACUGGCAGAGCCUGUGAUCCAGGCCUGUGGACCUCCACAUCAUUCCAUGAAAGUGACAUUUGAAGAUAAUACCUUGAUCAAACACUAAAAUGCAAAGAACCAGUAAUAAUUAUCCUGAAACAUAAAGAUGUAUGGAUCAGGGCAAUACACCAUUCAUAGUAGAAGAGCAGAGUGGAUCUGGGCGAUUUUCACAUCUGCAUUGGUUAAAGGUUUAUCAAUAUCUUAUUGAAGGAAACCAAAGUCCAAUUUGAGAAAUCACUGCAUUCCCUUUG